GCUGAAUUGGCCUAGGAGGCAGCCCGCUUCCUGGGGGUGGGGAGGACGCGAAGGGAGUGAAGAGAGAUCCCUAUGGCUGUUGGGAAGACUCCCCCGCCCCGGUUCUUCCCCGCCGCCUCCGGCAAUCCCGGCAGAACCGAAAGAGUCCCACACCGCGAUGGAGAGGCCUGAGGAAGUUCCCAGAAAACGGGAAGGUCACAGCUGAGUGGUGCUCUGGGGAAGCCAACUGCCAUGUCAUGAGGAUACCCAAGUAGUCUAUAGAGAAACCCACAUGGAUGGCGAGGAACCGACGCUUCUGGCCAUCAGCCACAUAAGAGAGUUUAGAAGUGGAUCCUCCAGCCCCAGUCAAGCCUCAGAUGACUGCAAACCCAGCUGACACCUUGACUGCAGUCUUGUGAGAGGCCCCCUAAUCAGAACCACCCACCUAAGCUGCUCCUGGAUUGCUGGCCCACAGAAACGGGGAUUCCCUGGUGGCGCAGUGGCUAAGGAUCGGCUUGCCAGUGCAGGGGACACGGGUUCAAGCCCUGGUCCAGGAAGAUCCCACAUGCUGCCCGUGCGCCACAACUACUGAGCCUGUGCUGUAGAGCCUGUGAGCCACAACUACUGAAGCCCGUGAGCCACAACUACUGAAGCCCGUGCGCCUAGAGCCCAUGCUCCGCAACAAGAGAAGCCACUGCAAUGAGAAGCCCAGGUACCGCAACCAAGAGUGGCCCCCGCUCGCCACAACUAGAGAAAGCCUGCACGCAGCAAUGAAGACACAAC